UGAACGCUAGCGAUAGGCUUAACACAUGCAAGUCGAGGGGCAGCAUGGUCUUAGCUUGCUAAGACUGAUGGCGACGGCGCACGGGUGCGUAACGCGUAUGCAACUUGCCUCACAGAGGGGGAUAACCCGUCGAAAGACGGACUAAUACCGCGUACACUCUAUGUUGGGCAUCCAAUGUAGAGGAAAUGAAAUUCGCUGUGAGAUAGGCAUGCGUCCCAUUAGCUAGUUGGUGAGGUAACGGCUCACCAAGGCGACGAUGGGUAGGGGAACUGAGAGGUUGAACCCCCACACUGGUACUGAGACACGGACCAGACUCCUACGGGAGGCGGCAGUGAGGAAUAUUGGUCAAUGGGCGAGAGCCUGAACCAGCCAAGUCGCGUGAAGGAUGACUGUCUUAUGGAUUGUAAACUUCUUUUAUACGGGAAUAACAAGAGUCACGUGUGACUCCCUGCAUGUACCGUAUGAAUAAGCAUCGGCUAACUCCGUG
rnacentral:rRNA from 1 species